GCUCAACCGGGGAGGGUCAUUGGAAACUGGGGAACUUGAGUGCAGAAGAGGAGAGUGGAAUUCCACGUGUAGCGGUGAAAUGCGUAGAGAUGUGGAGGAACACCAGUGGCGAAGGCGACCCUCUGGUCUGUAACUGACGCUGAGGCGCGAAAGCGUGGGGAGCGAACAGGAUUAGAUACCCUGGUAGUCCACGCCGUAAACGAUGAGUGCUAAGUGUUAGGGGGUUUCCGCCCCUUAGUGCUGCAGCUAACGCAUUAAGCACUCCGCCUGGGGAGUACGGUCGCAAGACUGAAACUCAAAGGAAUUGACGGGGGCCCGCACAAGCGGUGGAGCAUGUGGUUCAAUUCGAAGCAACGCGAAGAACCUUACCAGGUCUUGACAUCCUCUGACAACCCUAGAGAUAGGGCUUUCCCUUCGGGGACAGAGUGACAGGUGGUGCAUGGUUGUCGUCAGCUCGUGUCGUGAGAUGUUGGGUUAAGUCCCGCAACGAGCGCAACCCUUGAUCUUAGUUGCCAGCAUUCAGUUGGGCACUCUAAGGUGACUGCCGGUGACAAACCGGAGGAAGGUGGGGAUGACGUCAAAUCAUCAUGCCCCUUAUGACCUGGGCUACACACGUGCUACAAUGGACAGAACAAAG
rnacentral:rRNA from 1 species